CAGCGUGCCGUACACCACCACGCUGCUCUCCGUGGACAGCACCAGCCCGUUGUAGCACUGGCACUGCAGCGAGACAGACAAAGGCACAGAUGUGUGCCUGCGCGGCAAUUCCUACAAUGCCACCAGCAGUAGCCGGCGAUGCUCACUGGGAACAGGCCAAGUGAUCUGGGGAGCAGUUUGCAAGGAGGACACCCAGCUCUGUGCACAGAUUUCCAGCAAUGGUUCCCUGCACACAGGAACAGGUGAGGAGCCACUUGUGAGCAGCCAGGUCCUGCCAUGGGACCCCACAAUUCUGCUGGGACUGGAAGGCAGCUGUCGCCAGGAUCCACAGGGUUUAUCCAUCAUGUAGCAGCCAGCAUCCCUCUGCUUUACCAGAGACAUGUGAAAGUGAGUCAGUUUGUUUGUUUUUGAGGGAAGUUGCUGCUUUUAGCCACCUCACAAUGUCAUUUUAUGUAACGUGUUUAUGACUGGGCCUGUACC